rnacentral:rRNA from 1 species
AGAAUCAACGCUGGCGGCGUGCCUAACACAUGCAAGUCGAACGAGAAAGGGUAGCAAUACCUGAGUAAAGUGGCGCACGGGUGAGUAACACGUGACUAACCUACCUUUUAGUGGGGGAUAACCUAGGGAAACCUGGGCUAAUACCGCAUAAUACCUACGGGUCAAAGCAGCAAUGCGCUGGAAGAGGGGGUCGCGGUCGAUUAGUUAGUUGGCAGGGGUAAUGGCCUACCAAGACAGUGAUCGAUAUCCGGCCUGAGAGGGCGCACGGACACACUGGAACUGAAACACGGUCCAGACUCCUACGGGAGGCAGCAGUGGGGAAUUUUGCGCAAUGGGGGAAACCCUGACGCAGCAACGCCGCGUGGAGGAUGAAGUCCCUUGGGACGUAAACUCCUUUCGAUCGGGACGAUAAUGACGGUACCGGAAGAAGAACGCCCCGGCUAACUUCGCGCCAGCAGCCGC